UACAGAGGCCUCGAGCGUUAGGCGGAAUCACUGGGCUUAAAGCGUGUGUAGGCGGACUUCUAAGUACCUUGGGAAAUCCCACGGCUUACCCGUGGAACGGCUGGGUAUACUGGGAGUCUUGAGCCACCUAGGGGCGAGUGGAACAAAUGGUGGAGCGGUGAAAUGCGUAGAUAUCAGGAGGAACACCGAUGGCGAAGGCAGUUCUCUGGGCCGUAACUGACGCUGAGGAGCGAAAGCGUGGGGAGCGAACAGG
rnacentral:rRNA from 1 species